UACAGUCAUACCACAUUGAAACAUCAGUUCUGAUAUAAUCACCAAAGUUAAGCAAUGUUGAGCCUAGUCAGUACCUACAUGGGUGAUCACUUGGGAAGACCAGGUCCUGUAAG